rnacentral:lncRNA from 1 species
CUCUCACAUGUCUUUUUCAAGGUGUCCAAGGAAUUUAUUGCUUUCUACUCUUUUGUCCCCACCUGUAUAGGAUGAAUAAUCUGAUAUCAUGUGAGAUGAGGAAAUAAGAAGCUUUCUGCUGACUUCAUUGCGACCCAGGGUCCAAAAGGUGAUGUAAUCCUGUGGCAAGAAGAUUCAAAACUGUGAGCUAUCUUACAAAAAAUACAAGAAGAUAUGGAAAGUUUUCAUGAGUGCCUACCACCUAAUCCCAAACACUGUCAUUCAUAUGCGCGACAUUGAGCAAAUCUUUAUUGAGGAUCUAUAUGCCAGAUUUCUGACAUCAUAUCUGUGGGAUCCACACAGUGGGGAGGUGCUGGCCUUGGAAUCCAUGGUUCCCCAGCUAUCAUUUUAAUUUAGAAUUACAGUGUUCUCUGUUAGCAUCAAGGGAAUGAACCUGAAGAGAAAAGACCAAACAUAGGACUGUUACAGGGAAGAAAAAUAUGAAAAGACCUAAAGAUGCACUUCCUCAUUAUAUGUAAGGAACCUAUUUCCUAGAAUCCUAUAAAAAGCUCAAGUGAAUUUGCUUCAGUUAAUAAAUGUGAUUUAAUUAUAAUGAUAAUACCA